rnacentral:rRNA from 1 species
AGGAUGAACGCUGGCGGCGUGCCUAAUACAUGCAAGUCGAACGAGGUCUUCGGACCGAGUGGCGAACGGGUGAGUAACACGUUGGUACCUACCCCGAAGUGGGGAAUAACUGCCCGAAAGGGUGGCUAAUACCGCAUAAUACCGCAAGGUUAAAGCAGUAAUGCGCUUCGGGAGGGGCCUGCGUCCCAUUAGCUAGUUGGUAGGGUAAUGGCCUACCAAGGCGACGAUGGGUAGCUGGAUCGAGAGGUUGACCAGCCACACUGGGACUGAGAUACGGCCCAGACUCCUACGGGAGGCAGCAGUAAGGAAUCUUCCACAAUGGACGAAAGUCUGAUGGAGCAACGCCGCGUGCAGGAUGACGGCCUUCGGGUUGUAAACUGCUUUUAUAGUGGGAAGAUUAUGACGGUACCAUAUGAAUAAGGACCGGCUAACUACGCGCCAGCAGCCGC